UUAUGUGAGGCUGUACCAAACACUGGGAGACAUUAUAUUCACUGAUCUGAAGGACCCUUUUGAUGCUGCUGGAUACUACCACCUAGCUCUCGCUGCAGCCAUGGAUCUGGGCAACAAAAAGUCUCAGUUGCAGCUGUGCACCCAACUCGCCACCAUCUACCACAACUUCAUAAUAGACCGGGAGCGCUCUCUCUUCUUUUAUCAAAAGGCACGAGGAUUUGCUGCAGAGCUGAACGCAAAGAGGAUAAAUAUUUCACCAGGUCAGCAGUACAGCAGCGCACAAUACAAGAAUAUAGGACAGUAGGAGGGACACUGCAUGAAGACAGAAGAUGUUAUUUUUUGGUACGGAGUAGACAUGGAGCAACUUUGGGACAAGACGUUCCACACUGAAGAUGCUUUUCAAAUCACAAGUUUCACAAUUUUGUUUUCCAACAUGAUGAUAAAGUCAAUAAUUUCAGAGAAAAAACAAUUUUUUUCAGCAGUUUAAAUAAUAAAACAUGUCAUAACUCUGAGCCACCGUUGCUGUAAGAUGAGCGUGUUAGUGGCAUAAACCAGGCAUGUACUGAAAUGUUAUUUUUUAUCACUGAAAUGAAAUACAUGAAAUACAUAAUGAAAUAUAUUUAAUAUCAUUUGUUUUAGGUCACACAGAGGGAUCUUUAUGUCAAACCUAAUUAAGCUCUUUAAUUCAAUGUUUCUUUCUGAGACGCACCUUGUUUGAUGCUGUUUGCUCCCUGAAAUCUAAAUGCCCGUGGGUCUCUAACUUUAUCUUUGUGUUUACUUCAUGUUUCAUUUAAAUAGACAACUGUAAACAGGUACUUCCUGACACGUGGAAACAGGGAAACACUGUUCACUUGUUAAAAAUCGACAGCUGGUCACUAGUGAACAUUCCAGGCUGGAUCUUACUCAUGUAACUUUCUAAAGUACACUUGCUUCUACUUUGAUGUGACUUUGAUGGGAGAAAUAAUUGUUCGAUCCCCUGUUGAAUUUUUAUUAAAUGAAUAGUCUAAUAGUUCUUUAUAAUAAUUUCAGUUUAAUGGAGAGAGACAGAAUCUCAAAAAACUCAGAAACAACACAUUAAUGUUACUUGAAGUUGAUUGAAAAAUUCAUUUGUGCAUUUUUGAUCCCCUACUGUACAGUCAAUUACAAAUACUCCUAAUCUCAGUUUGUUAUGUGUACACUGUAUGAUUGUGUUAUGGGAUCAGCCACCUCAAGGUCAAGGUCAGAGGUCAAGUUUUGCAGUAAAUCAAGAAUGAACUUUGAAAAUGAAACCACUGACAAAUACAUUACUGAGAACAGUCUUGA